rnacentral:rRNA from 1 species
ACGAACGCUGGCGGCAGGCCUAACACAUGCAAGUCGCGCGAGGACUUCGGUUCUAGCGGCGGACGGGUGAGUAACGCGUGGGAAUGUGCCCUUCUCUACGGAAUAGCCCUGGGAAACUGGGAGUAAUACCGUAUACGCCCUUUUGGGGAAAGAUUUAUCGGAGAAGGAUCAGCCCGCGUUGGAUUAGGUAGUUGGUGGGGUAAUGGCCUACCAAGCCGACGAUCCAUAGCUGGUUUGAGAGGAUGAUCAGCCACACUGGGACUGAGACACGGCCCAGACUCCUACGGGAGGCAGCAGUGGGGAAUCUUAGACAAUGGGGGCAACCCUGAUCUAGCCAUGCCGCGUGAGUGAUGAAGGCCUUAGGGUUGUAAAGCUCUUUCAGCUGGGAAGAUAAUGACGGUACCAGCAGAAGAAGCCCCGGCUAACUCCGUG